rnacentral:rRNA from 1 species
UACGUAGGAUGCAAGCGUUGUCCGGAAUUAUUGGGCGUAAAGAGCGCGCAGGCGGUAUGACAAGUCAGAUGUGAAAGAGGCCGGCUUAACCGGCAAGGGUCAUUUGAAACUGUCAGACUAGAGUGCAGCAGAGGUUAGUGGAAUUCCCGGUGUAGUGGUGAAAUGCGUAGAUAUCGGGAGGAACACCAGUGGCGAAGGCGACUAUCUGGGCUGCAACUGACGCUGAGGCGCGAAGGCUAGGGUAGCAAACAGG